rnacentral:rRNA from 1 species
AGCAGCCGCGGUAAUUCCAGCUCCAAUAGCGUAUAUUAAAGUUGUUGCAGUUAAAAAGCUCGUAGUUGAACUUCGGAAUUUGCCCAUUGGUCAGGCUUAACUGUCUGCACUGGUGUGACGAGUUCCUACCUUCUGAGGAAUCUCCAUGUCAUUCAGUUGGUGUGGGGGGAAAUCAGGACUGUUACUUUGAAAAAUUAGAGUGUUUAAAGCAGGCGUCCGUCUGAAUACAUUAGCAUGGAAUAAUAAAAUAGGACGGUUUGGUUCUAUUUUGUUGGUUUCUAGGAUCACCGUAAUGAUUAAUAGGGAUAGUUGGGGGCAUUAGUAUUCAAUUGUCAGAGGUGAAAUUCUUGGAUUUAUUGAAGACUAACUACUGCGAAAGCAUUUGCCAAGGAUGUUUUCAUUAAUCAAGAACGAAAGUUAGGGGAUCGAAGACGAUCAGAUACCGUCGUAGUCUUAACCAUAAA